rnacentral:rRNA from 1 species
GUGCCCUUGAUUGGGUGUGUGUCAAGUCACGUAGUGGUGGGGCGCUGUUGGGGGCUUUACUUUGAAAAAAUUAGAGUGUUCAAAGCAGGCAGUCAUUUGAUUUGCUUGAAUAGAUUAGCAUGGAACAACGGAAGAGGACUUUUGGGCCUGUACUGUUGGCGUGUGGUGCGGGGGUAUUGUGGAGUGAGAAACCGCAAGGUUUUCUUAUUCCUCCCUCACCACAUCGGGUCUGAAGUAAUGAUUAAUAGGGACGGUUGGGGGCACUGGUAUUUCGUUGUCAGAGGUGAAAUUCUUGGAUUUACGAAAGACCGCCGACUGCGAAAGCAUUUGCCAAGGACGCUUUCAUUGAUCAAGAACGAAAGUUAGGGGAUCGAAGACGAUUAGAUACCGUCGUAGUCUUAACCAUAAACGAUGCCGGCCAGGGCUCGGUGGGCAGCACAAAUCAUUCUGUGAUGGAGGCGCCAUCGGGACCUUUAGGGAAACCAAAGCGUUUGGGUUCCGGGGGGAGUAUGAUCGCAAGAUUGAAACUUAAAGGAAUUGACGGAAGGGCACCACCAGGAGUGGAGCCUGCGGCUUAAUUUGACUCAACACGGGGAAACUCACCAGGUCCAGACAUGGGAAGGAUUGACAGAUUGACAGCUCUUUCUUGAUUCCAAGGGAGGUGGUGCAUGGCCGUCCAGCUUUUGUUGUGAAAUCUCUGUUUGAUUACGGUAAACGGCGAGACCUUGACUUGCUGAUUGGUGUGCGCCUGCUGUUUUGUAGGCGUUGGAGAUUACGCGCAAGCGUGUCUUUUGACACACCACUCAGAGGGACACUCGGCGUUGCUAUUGAGCGUAAGCCGAAGGAAGUUUGAGGCGAUAACAGGUCUGUGAUGCCCUUAGAUGUUCUGGGCUGCACGCGCGCUACACUGACGGGGGCAGCGAGUAUGCUUUGGGUGUUUGUGGUGGGGAAAGUCUUGUGCUUUCUGCAUUCACAAACAUCUAUUCCUGCGCUGGAAGGCGUGGGGACUCUUGUGAAAACCCGUCGUGCUGGGGAUAGAUGCUUGCAAUUAUUCAUCUUGAACGAGGAAUUCCUAGUAAGCGCAAUUCAACAGAUUGCGUUGAUUACGUCCCUGCCCUUUGUACACACCGCCCGUCGCUACUACCGAUUGAAUGGUUUAGUGAGGCCUCGGGAUUGGCGCGUGGGCGCUGGCAACAGCUGCCCAUGUGUUUCUUUGCUGAGAACCUGGUCAAACUUGAUCAUUUAGAGGAAGUAAAAGUCGUAACAAGGUUUCCGUAGGUGAACCUGCGGAAGG